rnacentral:rRNA from 1 species
UUUGGUUAAGUUAGAAAGGGCGCACGGUGGAUGCCUUGACACUAGGAGUCGAUGAAGGACGGGACUAACGCCGAUAUGCUUCGGGGAGCUGUAAGUAAGCUUUGAUCCGAAGAUUUCCGAAUGGGGAAACCCACCAUACGUAAUGGUAUGGUAUCCUUAUCUGAAUACAUAGGGUAAGGAAGACAGACCCAGGGAACUGAAACAUCUAAGUACCUGGAGGAAGAGAAAGCAAAUGCGAUUUCCUGAGUAGCGGCGAGCGAAACGGAACAUAGCCCAAACCAAGAGGCUUGCCUCUUGGGGUUGUAGGACAUUCUAUACGGAGUUACAAAGGAACGAGGUAGACGAAGCGACCUGGAAAGGUCCGUCGUAGAGGGUAACAACCCCGUAGUCGAAACUUCGUUCUCUCUUGAAUGUAUCCUGAGUACGGCGGAACACGUGAAAUUCCGUCGGAAUCUGGGAGGACCAUCUCCCAAGGCUAAAUACUCCCUAGUGAUCGAUAGUGAACCAGUACCGUGAGGGAAAGGUGAAAAGCACCCCGGAAGGGGAGUGAAAGAGAUCCUGAAACCGUGUGCCUACAAAUAGUCAGAGCCCGUUAACGGGUGAUGGCGUGCCUUUUGUAGAAUGAACCGGCGAGUUACGAUCCCGUGCGAGGUUAAGCUGAAGAGGCGGAGCCGCAGCGAAAGCGAGUCUGAAUAGGGCGUUUAGUACGUGGUCGUAGACCCGAAACCAGGUGAUCUACCCAUGUCCAGGGUGAAGUUCAGGUAACACUGAAUGGAGGCCCGAACCCACGCACGUUGAAAAGUGCGGGGAUGAGGUGUGGGUAGCGGAGAAAUUCCAAUCGAACCUGGAGAUAGCUGGUUCUCCCCGAAAUAGCUUUAGGGCUAGCCUUAAGUGUAAGAGUCUUGGAGGUAGAGCACUGAUUGGACUAGGGGUCCUCAUCGGAUUACCGAAUUCAGUCAAACUCCGAAUGCCAAUGACUUAUCCUUAGGAGUCAGACUGCGAGUGAUAAGAUCCGUAGUCAAAAGGGAAACAGCCCAGACCGCCAGCUAAGGUCCCAAAGUGUGUAUUAAGUGGAAAAGGAUGUGGAGUUGCUUAGACAACUAGGAUGUUGGCUUAGAAGCAGCCACCAUUUAAAGAGUGCGUAAUAGCUCACUAGUCGAGUGACUCUGCGCCGAAAAUGUACCGGGGCUAAAUACACCACCGAAGCUGCGGAUUGAUACCGAAUGGUAUCAGUGGUAGGGGAGCGUUCUAAGGACAGUGAAGUCAGACCGGAAGGACUGGUGGAGUGCUUAGAAGUGAGAAUGCCGGUAUGAGUAGCGAAAGACGGGUGAGAAUCCCGUCCACCGAAUGCCUAAGGUUUCCUGAGGAAGGCUCGUCCGCUCAGGGUUAGUCAGGACCUAAGCCGAGGCCGACAGGCGUAGGCGAUGGACAACAGGUUGAUAUUCCUGUACCACCUCUUUAUCGUUUGAGCAAUGGAGGGACGCAGAAGGAUAGAAGAAGCGUGCGAUUGGUUGUGCACGUCCAAGCAGUUAGGCUGAUAAGUAGGCAAAUCCGCUUAUCAUAAAGGCUGAGCUGUGAUGGGGAAGCUCCUUAUGGAGCGAAGUCUUUGAUUCCCCGCUGCCAAGAAAAGCUUCUAGCGAGAUAAAAGGUGCCUGUACCGCAAACCGACACAGGUAGGCGAGGAGAGAAUCCUAAGGUGUGCGAGAGAACUCUGGUUAAGGAACUCGGCAAAAUGACCCCGUAACUUCGGGAGAAGGGGUGCUUUCUUAACGGAAAGCCGCAGUGAAUAGGCCCAAGCGACUGUUUAGCAAAAACACAGCUCUCUGCGAAGCCGUAAGGCGAAGUAUAGGGGGUGACACCUGCCCGGUGCUGGAAGGUUAAGGAGAGGGGUUAGCGUAAGCGAAGCUCUGAACUGAAGCCCCAGUAAACGGCGGCCGUAACUAUAACGGUCCUAAGGUAGCGAAAUUCCUUGUCGGGUAAGUUCCGACCCGCACGAAAGGUGUAACGAUUUGGGCACUGUCUCAACCAGAGACUCGGUGAAAUUAUAGUACCUGUGAAGAUGCAGGUUACCCGCGACAGGACGGAAAGACCCCGUGGAGCUUUACUGUAGCCUGAUAUUGAAUUUUGGUACAGUUUGUACAGGAUAGGCGGGAGCCUUUGAAACCGGAGCGCUAGCUUCGGUGGAGGCGCUGGUGGGAUACCGCCCUGACUGUAUUGAAAUUCUAACCUACGGGUCUUAUCGACCCGGGAGACAGUGUCAGGUGGGCAGUUUGACUGGGGCGGUCGCCUCCUAAAGUGUAACGGAGGCGCCCAAAGGUUCCCUCAGAAUGGUUGGAAAUCAUUCGUAGAGUGCAAAGGCAUAAGGGAGCUUGACUGCGAGACCUACAAGUCGAGCAGGGACGAAAGUCGGGCUUAGUGAUCCGGUGGUUCCGCAUGGAAGGGCCAUCGCUCAACGGAUAAAAGCUACCCCGGGGAUAACAGGCUUAUCUCCCCCAAGAGUCCACAUCGACGGGGAGGUUUGGCACCUCGAUGUCGGCUCAUCGCAUCCUGGGGCUGUAGUCGGUCCCAAGGGUUGGGCUGUUCGCCCAUUAAAGCGGUACGCGAGCUGGGUUCAGAACGUCGUGAGACAGUUCGGUCCCUAUCCGUCGUGGGCGUAGGAAAUUUGAGAGGAGCUGUCCUUAGUACGAGAGGACCGGGAUGGACGCACCGCUGGUGUACCAGUUGUUCUGCCAAGGGCAUAGCUGGGUAGCUAUGUGCGGAAGGGAUAAGUGCUGAAAGCAUCUAAGCAUGAAGCCCCCCUCAAGAUGAGAUUUCCCAUAGCGUAAGCUAGUAAGAUCCCUGAAAGAUGAUCAGGUUGAUAGGUUCGAGGUGGAAGCAUGGUGACAUGUGGAGCUGACGAAUACUAAUAGAUCGAGGACUUAACCAUAUAA